GACGAACGCUGGCGGCGUGCUUAACACAUGCAAGUCGAACGGAAAGGCCCUGCUAUCGUGGGGUGCUCGAGUGGCGAACGGGUGAGUAACACGUGAGUAACCUGCCCUAGACUUUCGGAUAACUUCAGGAAACUGGGGCUAAUACCGGAUAGCAGCUCCUGCUGCAUGGUGGGGGGUGGAAAGUUUCGGCGGUUGCGGAUGGACUCGCGGCUUAUCAGCUUGUUGGUGGGGUAGUGGCUUACCAAGGCUUUGACGGGUAGCCGGCCUGGGAGGGUGACCGGCCUCAUUGGGACUGCGAGACGGCGCAGACUCCUACGGUAGGCAGUAGUCGGGAAUAUGGCACAAUGGGCGGAAGCCUGAUGCAGCAACGCCGCGUGCGGGAUGACGGCCUUCGGGUUGUAAACCGCAUUCGCCUGUGACGAAGCGUUAGUGACGGUAAUGGGUGAAGAAGCACCGGCUAACUACGUG
rnacentral:rRNA from 1 species